rnacentral:rRNA from 1 species
AGUGAACGCUGGCGGUAGGCCUAACACAUGCAAGUCGAACGGCAGCACAGUAAGAGCUUGCUCUUACGGGUGGCGAGUGGCGGACGGGUGAGGAAUACAUCGGAAUCUACUUUUUCGUGGGGGAUAACGUAGGGAAACUUACGCUAAUACCGCAUACGACCUACGGGUGAAAGCAGGGGAUCUUCUGACCUUGCGCGAUUGAAUGAGCCGAUGUCGGAUUAGCUAGUUGGCGGGGUAAAGGCCCACCAAGGCGACGAUCCGUAGCUGGUCUGAGAGGCUGAUCAGCCACACUGGAACUGAGACACGGUCCAGACUCCUACGGGAGGCAGCAGUGGGGAAUAUUAGACAAUGGGCGCAAGCCUGAUCCAGCCAUACCGCGUGGGUGAAGAAGGCCUUCGGGUUGUAAAGCCCUUUUGUUGGGAAAGAAAAGCAGCAGGUUAAUACCCCGCUGUUCUGACGGUACCCAAAGAAUAAGCACCGGCUAACUUCGUG